rnacentral:rRNA from 1 species
GACGAACGCUGGCGGCGUGGAUUAGGCAUGCAAGUCGAACGGUAUCAUCCUUUCGGGGGUGAGAGAGUGGCGAACUGGUGAGUAACACGUAGGUUAUCUACCCUCAAGACGGGGACAACCCAGGGAAACUUGGGCUAAUACCGGAUGUGAGCAACUUUUAGUUGUUUGAAAGGUGGCGUAAGCUGUCGCUUGGGGAUGAGCCUGCGUCCUAUUAGUUAGUUGGUGAGGUAACGGCUCACCUAGGCAAUGAUAGGUAGGCGGCCUUAACGGGUGGUCGCCCACACUGGGAUUGAGAUACGGCCCAGACUCCUACGGGAGGCAGCAGUCGAGAAUAGUCUACAAUGGUCGGAAGACUGAUAGUGCGACGCCGCGUGAACGAUGAAUCCCUUCGGGGUGUAAAGUUCUUUUAUAUGUGAGCAGUGCUUCUUAUAUUAACAGUAUGGGAGAGAGAUAUUAGCAUAUGAAUAAGCAACGGCUAACUCCGUGCCAGCAGCCGCGGUAAACUCG